ACUACUUCGCAAAACAUUUAUAAAAAGAAACAACGCUCAUUAACUACACGUUAUUUUGCCAUAAUCUAGCCGUUGCAGAAAUAAAAGAACUGUUUGAAUUUUGGAGAAAGUAUUCUACAAGUAUAGUACAAUGGAGAAAAAUGAGAAAGGUUCAUGCUCGCCGCCUGAGCAAAGAAGUACGCGGAAGUCGAACGAUUCUGCUAGACGAAUUGUAAACGGAGAAGAAGUUUGUCAUCACUAUGGCCAGUAUCCGAACUUCGAUCACCACUACCCUCACAACAAACCCAAAGCACACCCAAGUCACCCAUGCCAUCGUCUUCACAGCUCCCCAGGCACACCAUAAACGCAUCUGUAGGAUCUCAGCCGCAGCACCUUGUCGGAGAAGCUUUCAACAGGAAGAGCAUAUGGGAAGAGAUAGGCCUGUACAAGACGAUCGCACAAAGCUGUUACUCUUCUAAGGCCAUAUAAUUUUGCCUGUUAAAUAUAAGUUUAAUGACAGUUGAAUGUUUAUCUAUAACCAAGUCGAAUGUAUAUAACGUACUUUUGUAAGAGAUUUAUAUAGUUUGUAUGUUGCUUCAGCAUGAUCGAAUGCGGUUAAUAUUAUUGCUCUCGAAUUCUUGGUGUCCCUAGGUACAAAUUCUUGCACUGCAGGGUUUUUAUCUAUUACGACUACAACUUACAACUUUUGUUAUUACAUCAUAAUUAUGUUCUUAUUCGAGUACUUUUAUUUAUCUAUUUGUUUUUUAUUUGUUUAUGGUGCUGCGCAGCAAACCUAAUAGUCAUUGAAUAUACAGUACCUGUAUAGGUUAUUUCAGCAUGAGGUAUAAUUUUGGCUGAGUUUUUAAAUAAUCGAAAAAACCAACACAAUAUUGUACUCAUAGCGUAGUUAUCCAAUGUCUUGUAUAUGAAUUUAUCGUUACAAUAACAAAUUUAAAUGU